rnacentral:rRNA from 1 species
AUACGUAUGUCGCAAGCGUUAUCCGGAUUUAUUGGGCGUAAAGCGCGUCUAGGCGGCUUAGUAAGUCUGAUGUGAAAAUGCGGGGCUCAACCCCGUAUUGCGUUGGAAACUGCUAAACUGGAGUACUGGAGAGGUAGGCGGAACUACAAGUGUAGAGGUGAAAUUCGUAGAUAUUUGUAGGAAUGCCGAUGGGGAAGCCAGCCUACUGGACAGAUACUGACGCUAAAGCGCGAAAGCGUGGGUAGCAAACAGGAUUAGAUACCCUGGUAGUCCACGCCGUAAACGAUGAUUACUAGGUGUUGGGGGUCGAACCUCAGCGCCCAAGCUAACGCGAUAAGUAAUCCGCCUGGGGAGUACGUACGCAAGUAUGAAACUCAAAUGAAUUGACGGGG